ACGGCUACCUUGUUACGACUUCACCCCAGUCACGAACCCUGCCGUGGUAAUCGCCCUCCUUGCGGUUAGGCUAACUACUUCUGGCAGAACCCGCUCCCAUGGUGUGACGGGCGGUGUGUACAAGACCCGGGAACGUAUUCACCGCGGCAAGCUGAUCCGCGAUUACUAGCGAUUCCGACUUCACGCAGUCGAGUUGCAGACUGCGAUCCGGACUACGACCGGGUUUCUGGGAUUAGCUCCCCCUCGCGGGUUGGCAGCCCUCUGUCCCGGCCAUUGUAUGACGUGUGUAGCCCUACCCAUAAGGGCCAUGAUGACCUGACGUCAUCCCCACCUUCCUCCGGUUUGUCACCGGCAGUCUCAUUAGAGUGCCCUUUCGUAGCAACUAAUGACAAGGGUUGCGCUCGUUGCGGGACUUAACCCAACAUCUCACGACACGAGCUGACGACGGCCAUGCAGCACCUGUGUCCAGG
rnacentral:rRNA from 1 species